rnacentral:antisense_RNA from 1 species
AAGGACUGUGCUCCCAAUCCGCUUAUGCUCAAGGAAGAACUGCCUGGAAGCCCUCCCUGGUACCAUACCCCAGCCGAUGAGUAUGUACCCCCAGAAGUACUUCCGCUCGGAGAAGAAGGAGACGGCAAGCAGGGUGUACAGGAAGGCCCAGAACCAGCCUGAUGUCAGGAUCAGAACAAAAGAGGAGGACUGCAUAUGUAUGGACCCACUCCAGAUGGCACGGGGACGGGGGGGAGUAGGAAAAGUGGCAUGAGACCAGGCCCACAGAGUAUGGCUGUGCAAGUUGUUUACUGUACGAGGGCACCUGGCCGGGAGUCCCUCAGAUUGCUCUAGCCUCUUUGACCACUUUCCUUUGCCUUUGCACUUCCUUGAGAGAUGAGGGAAUGGAGGCACAGACUGAUUAGAAAACCAGCUCAAGGUCAUGUUGCUGCUCUCUCAUUCCUGUUGAGGGCUCUCUGGUGGAGCCUGUCUCACAGGCCACCUGCAGGCCAACACUCCCAGAAGCAGCUAGCACCAUGGUUGACCUCGUCCAGGUCCAGGGAAGGCCUCCCUCUCCAGGACUCCUUUAGAUUUCCCCAGCAUCCAGACCUCACCUGCCAAAGUGCCGUAGCCCUGGAAGCCACACAGUGAGCACGAGCUCCAUCUUGC